rnacentral:rRNA from 1 species
AUUGAACGCUGGCGGCGUGCCUAACACAUGCAAGUCGAGCGGUAACAGGUGUAGCAAUACAUGCUGACGAGCGGCGAACGGGUGAGUAAUGCUUCGGAAUCUACCCAAUGGUGGGGAAUAACCAGCCGAAAGGUUGGCUAAUACCGCAUACGUCCCACGGGAGAAAGCGAGGGAUCGCAAGACCUUGCGCCAAUGGAUGAGCCGAAGUCGGAUUAGCUAGUUGGAGGGUAACGGCCUACCAAGGCGACGAUCCGUAGCUGGUCUGAGAGGACGACCAGCCACACUGGGACUGAGACACGGCCCAGACUCCUACGGGAGGCAGCAGUGGGGAAUAUUGGACAAGUGGGGAAACCCUGAUCCAAGCGACGCCGCGUGUGUGAAGAAGGCC